UUUCUUUAACCUCUGGUCACAGAUUGACUGGACUGAAGAGGUUUGUAUCAAAGAGAAAAUGAGAAAUAUAUUCAUGCGCGAAACAUGAGGAUAUUAUUAUAUCUUUCAUUAACUUAUUAUCCAAUAUAGUUAUGACAAUCACAUCUUCAGUCCAGAAGCCCGAAUACGCGAGCCUCCCCAGUCCCCACUCGAGACAACGAAUUGUUCGUUCUGCUCUACUUGUGUCAAUCUUCUCACUGAAAUGUCAAAAACGGUGGGCAGAAGAGAGUUUUGACUAGAUUUGACGGUGGUUGUAUUUGUUUUAUUGCCGGAUAUUUCGGAAUUAUUUUUACUAUUUAUUUUGUGUAUAAAUGUAUAAUCUUUAAUUCUAAUUAAUUUCAACCAAGGUAUUAAUCAGAAGUGCUACCUUACA